AAUUCAGAAAGGCAUUGUAGGCAUCUGUAACCAGCAGAGGGACGUGCCCCACCUGGGUGGGGACCAUGCAUCCUUGCCACAUGCCCCACUGCACAACUUCCCCAGCUCCUCAACGUCACAUGGAUCUGGAAAGCAGGGAGACUGGACUACGGAGCCAGCCCUCCAGGGUUGGAACUGAGUUUGAAUCUCAGCUUGACUACUUACUAGGAUCUAAGGCGCGGGCUUCCUGUGCGCGGCCGAGCCCGGGCCCAGCGCCGCCUGCAGCCUCGGGAAGGGAGCGGAUAGCGGAGCCCCGAGCCGCCCGCAGAGCAAGCGCGGGGAACCAAGGAGACGCUCCUGGCACUGCAGAUAACUUGUCUGCAUUUCAAGAACAACCUACCAGAGACCUUACCUGUCACCUUGGCUCUCCCACCCAAUGGAGAUGGCUCUAAUGGUGGCACAAACCAGGAAGGGGAAAUCUGUGGUUUAAAUUCUUUAUGCCUCAUCCUCUGAGUGCUGAAGGCUUGCUGUAGGCUGUAUGCUGUUAAUGCUAAUCGUGAUAGGGGUUUUUGCCUCCAACUGACUCCUACAUAUUAGCAUUAACAGUGUAUGAUGCCUGUUACUAGCAUUCACAUGGAACAAAUUGCUGCCGUGGGAGGAUGACAAAGAAGCAUGAGUCACCCUGCUGGAUAAACUUAGACUUCAGGCUUUAUCAUUUUUCAAUCUGUUAAUCAUAAUCUGGUCACUGGGAUGUUCAACCUUAAACUAAGUUUUGAAAGUAAGGUUAUUUAAAAGAUUUAUCAGUAGUAUCCUAAAUGCAAACAUUUUCAUUUAAAUGUCAAGCCCAUGUUUGUUUUUAUCAUUAACAGAAAAUAUAUUCAUGUCAUUCUUAAUUGCAGGUUUUGGCUUGUUCAUUAUAAUGUUCAUAAACACCUUUGAUUCAACUGUUAGAAAUGUGGGCUAAACACAAAUUUCUAUAAUAUUUUUGUAGUUAAAAAUUAGAAGGACUACUAACCUCCAGUUAUAUCAUGGAUUGUCUGGCAACGUUUUUUAAAAGAUUUAGAAACUGGUACUUUCCCCCAGGUAACGAUUUUCUGUUCAGGCAACUUCAGUUUAAAAUUAAUACUUUUAUUUGACUCUUAAAGGGAAACUGAAAGGCUAUGAAGCUGAAUUUUUUUAAUGAAAUAUUUUUAACAGUUAGCAGGGUAAAUAACAUCUGACAGCUAAUGAGAUAUUUUUUCCAUACAAGAUAAAAAGAUUUAAUCAAAAAAUUUCAUAUUUGAAAUGAAGUCCCAAAUCUAGGUUCAAGUUCAAUAGCUUAGCCACAUAAUACGGUUGUGCGAGCAGAGAAUCUACCUUUCCACUUCUAAGCCUGUUUCUUCCUCCAUAUGGGGAUAAUACUUUACAAGGUUGUUGUGAGGCUUAGAUGAGAUAGAGAAUUAUUCCAUAAGAUAAUCAAGUGCUACAUUAAUGUUAUAGUUAGAUUAAUCCAAGAACUAGUCACCCUACUUUAUUAGAGAAGAGAAAAGCUAAUGAUUUGAUUUGCAGAAUAUUUAAGGUUUGGAUUUCUAUGCAGUUUUUCUAAAUAACCAUCACUUACAAAUAUGUAACCAAACGUAAUUGUUAGUAUAUUUAAUGUAAACUUGUUUUAACAACUCUUCUCAACAUUUUGUCCAGGUUAUUCACUGUAACCAAAUAAAUCUCAUGAGUCUUUAGUUGAUUUAAAAUAAUUUUUAUGGCCCAUUUUCUUUUGCAAAGUACAAAUUAUAAUUCCAGAAGCUAUCUGCCAAAAAAAGACAAUGGAAGAAAAUUAUGAGGACACUAAAGGGAACAUUCCUGACUCCUAGGACACAGUAUUCUCAUGUAAGAAUACCCAUUUGGCUUUGCCCCACUUUCUGUUCAAGUUGUAUGUGCUGCCAAGACAAAUUUCUUCUCCUCACUUUCUGUUCAAGUUGUAUGUGCUGCCAACACAAAUUUCUUCUCCUAACACCUGGAAUGAGCUUGUGGCUCCACGGAGCUCCCAUGUAGGUAGAACACAUUCAAGAGUGUUUCUUCAGGCCAGGCACAGUGGCUCACGCCUAUAAUUCCAACACUUUGGGAGGCCAAGGCGGGUGGUUCACUUGAGGUCAGGAGUUCUACACUACCCUGGCCAACAUAGUGAAACCUCGUCUCUACUAAAAAUACAAAAAUUAGCUAGGCAUGGUGGUGCGUGCCUGUAAUCCCAGAUACUCAGGAGGCUGGGGCAGAAGAAUCACUUGAACCCAGGAGGUGGAGUUCACAGUGAACGAAGAUCGUGCCACUGCCCUCCAGCCUGGGUGACAGAGUGAGACUCCAUCUCAAAAAAAAAAAAAAGUGUCUGUUCAAUUCAUUUUAUCUGCCACUGUAUAUCUACAAGAGGACUCCUUGCUUUGAGUCCCAGUUCUUCAAAAUCCUGCUUGCUGCC
rnacentral:lncRNA from 1 species